UGUGCUCACAGUUCAAUGUCUCUAGAUUAUAGGCGUUAUGAGGACAGAGUACUGGUUUACAGUACAAAAUUCCUGGGACAUAGAACACUGCCCAGCACAAAUAAUGAUUUGAUCAAUAAUUGUUGAAGGAAUAGACUAAAUGAAGGAACUGACAACUCAAGGGAAAGAGUAAUGACUCCAUGAAAGAGCCAAAAAAGAAGAAAAAAAGUGUUAUGUUGCUAGCUUGCCAGAUGAGGAGGAAAACAAAUGGUAUUCCAACUCAACGAAUGAGGAAACAAAACCUCAGAGAGGUUAAGCACAUUCAUGCAACAUGUAACCAGCCCAACCUGGAGCAGACAAAGGACUCCAGGAGAUCGAGUCCAGGAGACACCUGUAUUCGGUUACCAACAGCUCAUUUCCUUAUGUUGCUGCACUUUCAGUUUCUAAGCUCACUUAUGCCAACUAUUGGUUUGACCCAAGAAACUUUGAAAAUACACAUUCUGCAUGCUUCUGCACAUUGCGGACGACUCUAUACCGCUUGCAUAGCCCCACACCCCUGUCAAAGGCAGGAGGAGGAUGCUUAAAGCUGCCACUGGAGACGGAUACAGCACAUGGUUGUUCUGGAAAAG
rnacentral:lncRNA from 1 species